CCCUACGGGGUGCAGCAGGCGCGAAACCUUUACAAUGCACGCAAGUGUGAUAAGGGAACCCCAAGUGCUAAUGUUAUACAUUGGCUUUUGUUAAGAGUAAAUAUCUUGACGAAUAAGUGGUGGGAAAGACUGGUGCCAGCCGCCGCGGUAACACCAGCGCCACGAGUGGGAAUCGUUUAUUUGGUCUAAAGCGUCCGUAGCUGGUUGUACAAAUCUUUUGUGAAAUCGUUAGGCCUAACUUAACGACGUGCAGGAGACACUAUACAACUUGGGACCAGGAGGGGUUAGAAGUAUUCUUAGGGGAGCGGUAAAAUGCUAUAAUCCUGAGAAGACUACCUGUGGCGAAGGCGUCUAACCAGAAUGGAUCCGACAGUCAGGGACGAAAGCGAGGGGAGCAAACCGGAUUAGAUACCCGAGUAGUCCUCGCCGUAAACGCUACGAGCAAGGUGUUGCAUAUUCUUCGAGAAUAUGCAGUGUCGAAACGAAGGUGUUAAGCUCGUCACCUGGGAAGUAUGGUCGCAAGACUGAAACUUAAAGGAAUUGGCAAGGGAGCAC
rnacentral:rRNA from 1 species